CAGCCGCCGCGGUAAUACGGAGGGCGCGAGCGUUGUCCGGAUUCACUGGGCGUAAAGCGGGUGUAGGCGGUCGGGUAAGUCGGACGUGAAAGCCCGGGGCUCAACCCCGGAAGGGCGUCCGAAACUGCUCGACUUGAGGGCGGGAGAGGGAGGUGGAAUUCCCGGUGUAGCGGUGAAAUGCGUAGGUAUCGGGAGGAACACCAGUGGCGAAGGCGGCCUCCUGGCCCGUUCCUGACGCUGAGACCCGAAAGCGUGGGGGGCAAACCGGAUUAGAUCCCCGGGUAGUCCACGCCGUAAACGGUGGGCACUAGGUGUGGGGGGUUAAUCCCUCCGUGCCGAAGCUAACGCAUUAAGUGCCCCGCCUGGGGAGUACGGUCGCAAGGUUGAAACUUAAAGGAAUUGGCGGC
rnacentral:rRNA from 1 species